GCGCAUUUGCGGCAUGCACGACAGCCUGAUCCAGCUAUGCCGCGUGAGUGAUGAAGGCCUUAGGGUUGUAAAACUCUUUCAGCAGGGAAGAUAAUGACGGUACCUGCAGAAGAAGUCCCGGCAAACUCCGUGCCAUCACCCGCGGUAAUACAAUACAC
rnacentral:rRNA from 1 species